rnacentral:rRNA from 1 species
CCUACGGGUGGCAGCAGCUAAGAAUCUUCCGCAAUGGGCGAAAGCCUGACGGAGCGAUGCCGCGUGAUCGAUGAAGGUCGAGAGAUUGUAAAGAUCUUUUCUAGGUGAGGAAUAAGUGUGGGAGGGAAUGCCCGCAUGAUGACGUUAACCUAGGAAUAAGCCCCGGCCAAUUACGUGCCAGCAGCCGCGGUAACACGUAAGGGGCGAGCGUUGUUCGGAAUUAUUGGGCGUAAAGGGCGUGCAGGCGGUUUUGCAAGUCUGAUGUGAAAGACCUGGGCUUAACUCAGGGACCGCGUUGGAAACUGUGAGACUAGAAUCUUGGAGGGGGAGUUGGAAUUCCUAGUGUAGGGGUGAAAUCUGUUGAUAUUAGGAAGAACACCGGUGGCGAAGGCGAACUCCUGGCCGAAGAUUGACGCUGAGGCGCGAAAGCGUAGGUAGCAAACAGGAUUAGAUACCCCAGUAGUCC